rnacentral:tRNA from 1 species
AUAAUGGUGGCAGAAUUACGCAUAUAAUUUAGAAUUAUAUAAUGAAUUUAUUUUCCCUUUAUA